rnacentral:tRNA from 1 species
UAGGAGUUGAAAUCUCUUUUUUCUGG